rnacentral:rRNA from 1 species
AAGUCUCCUGAAGGAACGUUGAAGACGACGACGUUGAUAGGCCGGGUGUGUAAGCGCAGCGAUGCGUUGAGCUAACCGGUACUAAUGAACCGUGAGGCUUAACCUUACAACGCCGAAGGUGUUU